rnacentral:tRNA from 1 species
CAGAAGAUAAUUUAUUUAAAAUAUUAACAUUGGAAGUUAAAAAUUAAGUGUUAACUUAUCUUUUGA